GAUGAAGAACGCAGCGAAAUGCGAUAAGUAAUGUGAAUUGCAGAAUUCAGUGAAUCAUCGAAUCUUUGAACGCACAUUGCGCCCCUUGGUAUUCCGAGGGGCAUGCCUGUUCGAGCGUCAUUAUAACCCCUCAUGCUCAGCUUGGUGUUGGGGCCUGCUGCACUGGCAGCCCUUAAAAUCAGUGGCGGCGCCAUCUGGCUCUAAGCGUAGUAAUUCUUCUCGCUAUGGAGUCCUGGUGGAUGCUUGCCAUCAACCCCCAAUUUUUCUAUGGUUGACCUCGGAUCAGGUAGGGAUACCCGCUGAACUUAAGCAUAUCAAUAAGCGGAGGA
rnacentral:misc_RNA from 1 species